UGCUUACUGCAUUUUUUCUUACACAUGUGUUUUUCUUUUUUUGAAAACUUUGCUUUGGUAGGCCUUCUAUAUGGGGCCUGCCAGAGAUUAAACUCAACCAAAUUUUAUUUAAUGUCAACCGAUUAUUUAAUAGUCAAAACUUUCAACAACGGAUCUCUUGGUUCUCGCAUCGAUGAAGAACGCAGCGAAAUGCGAUAAGUAAUAUGAAUUGCAGAUAUUCGUGAAUCAUCGAAUCUUUGAACGCACAUUGCGCCCUUUGGUAUUCCAAAGGGCAUGCCUGUUUGAGCGUCAUUUCUCCCUCAAACCCUCGGGUUUGGUGUUGAGCGAUACGCUGGGUUUGCUUGAAAGAAAGGCGGAGUAUAAACUAAUGGAUAGGUUUUUUCCACUCAUUGGUACAAACUCCAAAACUUCUUCCAAAUUCGACCUCAAAUCAGGUAGGACUACCCGCUGAACUUAAGCAUAUCAAUAAGCGGAGGAAAAGAAACCAACAGGGAUUGCCUUAGUAGCGGCGAGUGAAGCGGCAAAAGCUCAAAUUUGAAAUCUGGCACUUUCAGUGUCCGAGUUGUAAUUUGAAGAAGGUAUCUUUGGGUCUGGCUCUUGUCUAUGUUUCUUGGAACAGAACGUCACAGAGGGUGAGAAUCCCGUGCGAUGAGAUGUCCCAGACCUAUGUAAAGUUCCUUCGAAGAGUCGAGUUGUUUGGGAAUGCAGCUCUAAGUGGGUGGUAAAUUCCAUCUAAAGCUAAAUAUUGGCGAGAGACCGAUAGCGAACAAGUACAGUGAUGGAAAGAUGAAAAGAACUUUGAAAAGAGAGUGAAAAAGUACGUGAAAUUGUUGAAAGGGAAAGGGCUUGAGAUCAGACUUGGUAUUUUGUAUGUUACUCUCUCGGGGGUGGCCUCUACAGUUUACCGGGCCAGCAUCAGUUUGAGCGGUAGGAUAAGUGCAAAGAAAUGUGGCACUGCUUCGGUAGUGUGUUAUAGUCUUUGUCGAUACUGCCAGCUUAGACUGAGGACUGCGGCUUCGGC
rnacentral:sRNA from 1 species